rnacentral:rRNA from 1 species
GCUUGUCUCAAAGAUUAAGCCAUGCAUGUCUAAGUGUAAAUAAGUCUAUACUGUGAAACUGCGAAUGGCUCAUUAAAUCAGUUAUCGUUUAUUUGAUGGUCCCUUACUACAUGGAUAACUGUGGUAAUUCUAGAGCUAAUACAUGCGUAAAGUCCCGACUCUUUCUGGGGAGGGAUGUAUUUAUUAGAUAAAAAACCAAUGCGGGUUCUGCCCGGUUUUGUGUUGAAUCAUAGUAACUUUUCGAAUCGCAUGGCUUCACGCCGGCGAUAGUUCAUUCAAAUUUCUGCCCUAUCAGCUUUCGACGGUAGUGUAGUGGACUACCGUGGCGUUAACGGGUAACGGAGAAUUAGGGUUCGAUUCCGGAGAGGGAGCCUGAGAAACGGCUACCACAUCUAAGGAAGGCAGCAGG